rnacentral:rRNA from 1 species
CCUACGGGAGGCAGCAGUGGGGAAUAUUGCACAAUGGGGGGAACCCUGAUGCAGCGACGCCGCGUGAGUGAUGAAGUCUUUCGGUUUGUAAAGCUCUGUCUUCAGGGAAGAAAAUGACGGUACCUGACGAAGAAGCCCCGGCUAACUACGUGCCAGCAGCCGCGGUAAUACGUAGGGGGCAAGCGUUAUCCGGAUUUACUGGGCGUAAAGGGAGCGUAGACGGCCGUUUAAGUCUGAUGUGAAAGGCAUGGGCUCAACCUGUGUGCUGCAUUGGAAACUGUGCGGCUUGAGUGUCGGAGAGGCAAGUGGAAUUCCUAGUGUAGCGGUGAAAUGCGUAGAGAUUAGGAGGAACACCAGUGGCGAAGGCGGCUUGCUGGACGGUGACUGACGUUGAGGCUCGAAAGCGUGGGGAGCAAACAGGAUUAGAUACCCCAGUAGUC